rnacentral:misc_RNA from 1 species
ACGAAAAAUGAACUUCUAAGCUGCCUUAACUUGACGUUAGGAUUAACUCAGUUACAGGGUCAUUAACUGAUCUUAGAACCUCUAUAAGAUCUGUGUAAUUCCACUAUCUUCAACACAAGCCAAGGCCACAAAGAGCCUUCAAACUCAAGAUGGUUCCUUCAAUUUCUUUCAUUCUUUCUGUACUUGUUAUCCUUGUGCUCUCACCUUCCUUUUCACUUUCCUUUCCAAUUGGUGAUAGUUUUCUCCAAUGUCUCAUUGUCAAUUCUGAAAUUGUUAUUCCCUUCUCCACUGCCUUUUACUCGCCUGACAAUUCUUCUUUCUCAUCCUUUUUACAGUCUUCUGCUCAAAAUCUCAGGUACUUGUUG